CAAAAGAAGAAGAUAAACGAAAUUGGGAAAUUAGGGUUUUACCUGUUGCGACUCCUCAGCUUAACAUCGCUCUCGCCUCUCUCACUCUCCUUCAACAACGACGACGGCGGCGACUCAGACUUCUUCUCCGAUGAAUUCUCUUCGGUCACGCUCCCCUCUCGUGUAUCUCAACUCGAUGCAAUCACGAACGGAUGACUAGUUUAUGCGAUGGAGAUGAUGAACGUUGUUGUUGUGGGCACAGAUUCGGGAUGAGUGUCAUGGAGAUUGUUGAAUCGUAUUUGCGAUGAGAACGAAGACGCGACAAAGAUUGAAGUGUUGAUGAUGCGUUUGGUUGAUGAGGUUCUGAGACGAUUGAUUGAGGUUACCGAGAAUUCGAGGGACUCAAAUGAUUGGAGAUAUGUUUGAUUGAAGGUGAGAGCAAUGGAGUAUUGGGAGAUGAUUCAGAGAUUGAACAACUUAAGAUGAUGACGAUGGGGGUCGCAGAGGUGAAACGGGUGAAGGUUCUGGUGUGUGAAGUGAGGAUUGGUGAUGAGAGUGAAUGAAGAAGAUGGGGGAAGAAAAUGGAGGAGCUUGCAGAGAAAGAUGAGAGAAGUGAAGGUGAUGAUGAAUGAAGAAUCGAGGGAGAAGAAGAAAUAGUGCAGAGUGGAAGAUAUGAUUUUUGGAAGAUGAAUUGGAGAGGGAAAAUGAUGAAUUGAGAGAGGGGAAUCUGAGAAUGGUGAAGAAAAUGGGGUGAGUGAACAAAAAUGGUGGAGGAAAAAAUGGAGGCUUGAACAGAGUGGUGGCUGAAGAUUAUAUAGAGGUUCAAAGGUGGUAUUUUUGUAUUGCAGGACUGCUGUUAACGACGUAUCAUUGUGUCGGCUCGCAACACGUUCGCCUCUGGUCUGGCAGCAAGUAUAUAGCAUGAAUGGAGGUCUUGUAAUGGCUGUAUGAUGCUAAAUUGUGAUAGUUGCAGCAAGUUUUAUUGUUUUUUUUCUUUUUUUGAACAUGUAGAAUUUUGGACUUUAGGAGUUAAUUCAAGGUGUAAUGAACACUGUGAUGGAUUGUAAUGUGCUCCAACUGUGAAAACUCUCUUGUAAUUGGAUUGAAAUAAGUCUUUGAAAUGUAUUGAAUUUGUAAUGCAAGGUUAUCCUUCUCAAACAUGAAGUCUGAACAUGUAUUUUUUUUCUUUCCAAAAUUCAAGUUCUCUUUUGGUUUUGUUGAAUGAUGUUCUUCUUGUGAGCUUGACUUGAAUAACAAAAAACCACAUGAAUUGACCUUGGCUUGCUCGAUCACAUUUAGAAGCUAGAUUAAAUAUUUGAACAUGAAUGAACUUCUUGAUGGGCUUCUAACUUUAAUUCUCAACAUUUGAGUCAACUUGCAAUUGAAGCAACCCUGAUGAGAAUAAAAUUUAUCUUGAUAGAAAGGAAAUCCACCAACAUCUCUUCUGACAAUACUUUGUAUGCAAUCAAAUAAGCCUCCUACCAAUUUCGGAACUAAUCCGUACAUAGAAAUCCUUAAUCAUAAGAAGAAACAUCUGGCCAUUAAUUCAUCUCCUGAUAAAGUAUAAAGCUUUUUUUUUUGAAGAAAUAAAUAAGCUUGUACCAAAAUCUAUAUGAGACCAUGAUUUGUUUCAUGAUCCUUGAUCCCUUGUCAAUGUUAUUGAUUAAAUGAAUGCAUGAGUGUUAGAUGACCUAAUGAAGGUAUGCAAAUGAAUGUGAAACUUAAGCCAAUUAUAAAUAAAUUAAGAUGGGCAAAUUUUGGGGUGCAAC